rnacentral:rRNA from 1 species
CAUCACCUCAAGUGGUCAGGAUGAUUAUUGGGCCUAAAGCAUCCGUAGCCGGCGCUGUAAGUUUUCGGUUAAAUCUGUACGCUCAACGUACAGGCUGCCGGGAAUACUGCAGCGCUAGGGAGUGGGAGAGGUAGACGGUACUCGGUAGGAAGGGGUAAAAUCCUUUGAUCUAUUGAUGACCACCUGUGGCGAAGGCGGUCUACCAGAACACGUCCGACGGUGAGGGAUGAAAGCUGGGGGAGCAAACCGGAUUAGAGACCCGAGUAGUCC